AUUGGGCUCAGUCCUGGCUGUGGAGGGUAGUGCCUUGCCCAGCUCCUCUGGCUGGUGACAGCCCUCGGGCCUCAGUUCAGUUGUAUCUGAUCAGGACUUGACCACACAGAGGCUUCCUUUUCUCCAAGAAGAGGAUGGAAUAGACAAGCUGGAGCUGCUGGCUCCCGGAUGAAUUUCAGACCUGGGGUUCUCAGCUCCAGGCAACUUGGACUCCCAGGACCUCCUGAUGUUCCUGACCAUGCUGCUUACCACCCCUUCCGCCGUCUGGCCAUCUCUGCACAGCCAGGCUGGACCUAUCCCUGACAGCAUGCUCUUCUGUUUGAAAAUCUCCUGUGACAAAGGCCAUUCUAGGUGGAGUGUAUGUGUGGCAGGAUGGGGGGCUGGAGCUUGGUGGCAGCGCUGCUGGUUGCCCGCCUCCUGACUGCCUUCCUGCUCCCUUUCUGUUUCCGGAUGUUCCUGCCCUAGUGCCUGCUUCAGCACCACCAGCCACCUCAAAUCCUGAUCCAGCUGUGUCUCGUGUCAUGAAUAUGAAAAUCGAAGGUGCCCCCAAGGCCAGAGGCCCUGUCCUAACAGGGGGAUCCUGGGAGGGGAGUGACCUGUCACAUGUCUCGAUGUUGAAGUAGUGAGGGAACCCAGCCACACCUAGUCACUGCUCCCUCCCUCAACCUCCCACUCCUCAGGAAGGGGCUGCCUAAACCCAGACUUUUUCUUCUUUUAGAAACAACCAUGACAACCCAAACCCCAGCCCCCAUACAGGCUCCCUCUGCCAUCCUGCCACUGCCUGGGCAGAGUGUGGAGCGGCUCUGUGUGGACCCCAGACACCGCCAGGGGCCAGUGAACCUGCUCUCAGACCCUGAGCAAG
rnacentral:lncRNA from 1 species